UGGUUUCUUGCCUUAAGGAGUGCAG
rnacentral:piRNA from 1 species